UACGUAGGGGGCAAGCGUUGUCCGGAAUCAUUGGGCGUAAAGCGCGCGUAGGUGGCCCCGGUAAGUCCGCUCUGAAAGUCAAAGGCUCAACCUUUGAAAGCGGGUGGAUACUGUCGGGCUAGAGUCCGGAAGAGGCGAGUGGAAUUCCUGGUGUAGCCGGUGGAAUGCGCAGAUAUCAGGAGGAACACCAACGGCGAAGGCAGCUCGCUGGGACGGUACUGACGCUGAGGCGCGAAAAGCGUGGGGAGCGAACAGG
rnacentral:rRNA from 1 species